UGGGAAGACAUGGUAAAACUAAGUUAAUUCAUUGUAAAUGCAUCAAAUUAUGUUAUUCAUGACAAGAAUUCAGUUCAGUUUUUUAAUUUUCUAUAGCAAUUUGUUUAACGAGCUCUACUACCAUGCAGUUUUGUUCUUUAACUGAAAUACUUGCAUUCUGUUUCCAAUGAUAGUUUGUUGCAGCAUGCAAGAAGCCCCCAGUGUUCUGCAUCAUCACCGAGUAUUUGGCAGGGGGUUCUCUGAGACAGUAUCUCCACAGAUAGGAGCCUCAUUCUCUUCCACUAGAUCUGGUUUUGAUAUUGGCGCUUGAUAUUGCACGUGGGAUGCAUUAUCUUGAUUCUCAGGGAAUUCUUCAUAGGGACCUCAAAUCAGAAAAUCUACUUCUUGGGGAAGAUGUGUGUGAAAGUAGCGGAUUUUGGAAUCUCAUGUUUAGAAUCUCAGUGUGAAAGUAGAGAAGGAAUCAUGGGCACUUACCGAUGGAUGGCACCAGAAAUGAUUAAAGAAAAACAUCAUACUAGGAAAGUUGAUGUAUACAGUUUUGGCAUAGUCCUUUGGGAGCUCUUUAGUGCAUUGAUACCAUUCUAUGACAUGACUCCAGAACAGGCUGCUUUUGCAAUCUCCCAGAAGGGAUUUUGAUGUCUACAUUUGACAUGAAGGAUGAAUCCAAGGGCCAUCUCAUUCCAAAAGCAUGGAAGUGAUUUGGCAAGGUGAGAUUGCUGGAGUAGAUGUGGCUUUGGAUACAUUCAAGGCCGAAAAGGCAUUUCCUAUGUGCAAACUCACACAUUUGUUGCAUGAUUCAUUGGGUGGGAGGACUACGACAUGUAUAAUUGGUGGGCCUGUCAAAAUUGGACUGGGCCUGUCCUGUUCAUUAGGUGGACUUAAAAAUAGGCCUGUGUUUGACCUGCAGGCCUAAAAUCAGAUCAAGUUGGGACCAUGGGGGCCAGGUCUGUAUAGGACUUGUCUCCAUGGGAACUGCGCCAAAAUAUACGAAUUUACUCUUCCUUUUUUUUAUUUAUUUUCUUGGUGAUUUUUAUUUUCUCAGUUCUCAUUUAUUGGAUAUGUUCAUUUGAA